rnacentral:rRNA from 1 species
UCUGUAGGCUGAUGAAGGUGCAUUGAGAAGUGUGCUGGAGGUAUCAGAAGUGCGAAUGCUGACAUGAGUAACGAUAAUGUGGGUGAAAAGCCCACACGCCGGAAGUCCCAGGUUUCCUGCACGACGUUAAUCGGAGCAGGGUGAGUCGGCCCCUAAGGCGAGGCUGAAGAGCGUAGUCGAUGGGAACCAGGUUAAUAUUCCUGGACUUUUUAUAAGUGGUGAAGUGGGGACGAAGAAGGCUAGGUGAGCCAGGCGUUGGUUGUCCUGGUACUUGCAUGUAGGGGGGAAGACUUGGCAAAUCCGGUUUUCCAUAACUCUGAGGUGCGAAGUGGUUCUGACCUUUUGGUACAGAGAAGUCAUUGAUGCCCGGCUUCCAGGAAAAGCUGCUAGCCAUAACUUAUAGAGAACCGUACCGCAAACCGACACAGGUGGACAGGUAGAGAAUACUAAGGCGCUUGAGAGAACUCGGGUGAAGGAACUAGGCAAAAUGGUACCGUAACUUCGGGAGAAGGUACGCCCUUUUGGGUGAGGGCAUUUACUGUCUGAGCUUAAGAGGGCCGCAGAGACCAGGUGGCUGCGACUGUUUAUUAAAAACACAG